rnacentral:rRNA from 1 species
UUUCGCAAUGCCCGAAAGGGUGACGAAGCGACGCCGCGUGCGGGAAGAAGGCCUUCGGGUUGUAAACCGCUGUCGGGAGUUAAGAAAUGUAAGGAUGUUAAUAGCAUCUUUGCUUGACUAAGGCUCCGGAGGAAGCCACGGCUAACUCUGUGCCAGCAGCCGCGGUAAUACAGAGGCGGCAAGCGUUGUUCGGAAUUAUUGGGCGUAAAGGGCACGUAGGCGGCUAUGUAAGUCGGUUGUGAAAGCCUUCCGCUCAACGGGAGAACAGCAUCCGAUACUGCAUGGCUUGAGUGCGGGAGGGGAGAGUGGAACUUCUGGUGGAGCGGUGAAAUGCGUAGAUAUCAGAAGGAACGCCGGCGGCGAAAGCGGCUCUCUGGCCCAUAACUGACGCUGAGUGUGCGAAAGCUAGGGGAGCAAACGGGAUUGGAUACCCCGGUAGUCCUAGCCGUAAACGAUGGGCACUAAGUAGAGGGGUUUU